rnacentral:rRNA from 1 species
GAUGAACGCUGGCGGCGUGCCUAAUACAUGCAAGUCGAGCGAACAGACGAGGAGCUUGCUCCUUUGACGUUAGCGGCGGACGGGUGAGUAACACGUGGGUAACCUACCUAUAAGACUGGGAUAACUUCGGGAAACCGGAGCUAAUACCGGAUAAUAUUUCGAACCGCAUGGUUCGAUAGUGAAAGAUGGCUUUGCUAUCACUUAUAGAUGGACCUGCGCCGUAUUAGCUAGUUGGUAAGGUAACGGCUUACCAAGGCAACGAUACGUAGCCGACCUGAGAGGGUGACGGCACAACGAGGAACAUAGCCAGGUCCGACACUCCUGCGGAGGGACGCAGGGGGAACUCUCGCGAAGGGGAGAAAGGCCAAACGGAGCACCCCCGGGGGAGGGAGAAAGUUUUCAGGACCGAAAACCUUUUUAAUAAGGAAAAAAAAAACUUGUAAUUACCUGGGAAGGUCUUGAGGGUACCUAAUCAGAAGGCCACGGCAAACUCCGUG